UACAUAGGGGGCAAGCGUUAUCCGGAAUUAUUGGGCGUAAAGCGUGUGUAGGCGGUUUAUUAAGUCUGACGUAAAAUCCCGUAGCUUAACUACGGCUGGCGUUGGAAACUGGUAGACUAGAGUACGGUAGGGGUAAGUGGAAUUCCAAGUGGAGCGGUGGAAUGCGUAGAGAUUUGGAGGAACACCAGUGGCGAAGGCGGCUUACUGGGCCGUUACUGACGCUGAGACACGAAAGCGUGGGGAGC
rnacentral:rRNA from 1 species